GUGCACUGAGAUGCGCUCUACACCCUUUGUGACAUACCUAUAACUGUUGCUUCGGCGGGUAGGGUCUCCGCGACCCUCCCGGCCUCCCGCCUCCGGGCGGGUCGGCGCCCGCCGGAGGAUAACCAAACUCUGAUUUAACGACGUUUCUUCUGAGUGGUACAAGCAAAUAAUCAAAACUUUUAACAACGGAUCUCUUGGUUCUGGCAUCGAUGAAGAACGCAGCGAAAUGCGAUAAGUAAUGUGAAUUGCAGAAUUCAGUGAAUCAUCGAAUCUUUGAACGCACAUUGCGCCCGCCAGCAUUCUGGCGGGCAUGCCUGUUCGAGCGUCAUUUCAACCCUCAAGCUCUGCUUGGUGUUGGGGCCCUACAGCUGAUGUAGGCCCUCAAAGGUAGUGGCGGACCCUCUCGGAGCCUCCUUUGCGUAGUAACUUUACGUCUCGCAGGUGGGAUCCGGAGGGACUCUUGCCGUAAAACCCCCAAUUUUCCAAAGGUUGACCUCGGAUCAGGUAGGAAUACCCGCUGAACUUAAGCAUAUCAAUAAGCGGGAGGAAUGUUUACUGAGUUUUACCCCCAAACCCUUUGUGAAAAUACCUAUAACUGUUGCUUCGCGGGAAGGUCUCCCGAC
rnacentral:rRNA from 1 species